rnacentral:rRNA from 1 species
ACGAACGCUGGCGGCAGGCCUAACCCCUGCAAGUCGAGCGAGGACUUCGGUCCUAGCGGCGGACGGGUGAGUAACGCGUGGGAACGUGCCCUUUGCUUCGGAAUAGCCCUGGGAAACUGGGAGUAAUACCGGAUGAGCCCUUUGGGGGAAAGAUUUAUCGGCGAAGGAUCGGCCCGCGUUGGAUUAGGUAGUUGGUGGGGUAAUGGCCUACCAAGCCGACGAUCCAUAGCUGGUUUGAGAGGAUGAUCAGCCACACUGGGUCUGAGACACGGCCCAGACUCCUACGGGAGGCAGCAGUGGGGAAUCUUAGACAAUGGGGGAUACCCUGAUCUAGCCAUGCCGCGUGAGCGAUGAAGGCCUUAGGGUUGUAAAGCUCUUUCAGCUGGGAAGAUAAUGACGGUACCAGCAGAAGAAGCCCCGGCUAACUCCGUG